UUAGGUAGUAACAACCAUUUGAGUCUGGGAUUUCUGAAUGGGGAAACCCACUUACAUAAGUAAGUAUCGUUAUGUGAAUACAUAGCAUAACGAGGCGAACCGGGGGAACUGAAACAUCUAAGUACCCCGAGGAAAAGAAAUCAACCGAGAUUCCGAAAGUAGCGGCGAGCGAAAUUGGACUAGCCCUUAAGCUUUACACGCGUUAGACGAACGGUCUGGAAAGUCCGACGAUACAGGGUGAUAGUCCCGUAGUUGACGACGUGUGUUCAGUGAAAUCGAGUAGGGCGGGACACGUGAUAUCCUGUCUGAAUAUGGGGGGACCAUCCUCCAAGGCUAAAUACUACUGACUGACCGAUAGUGAACCAGUACCGUGAGGGAAAGGCGAAAAGAACCCCUGUGAGGGGAGUGAAAUAGAACCUGAAACCGUGUACGUACAAGCAGUAGGAGCAGGCUUUGUCCUGUGACUGCGUACCUUUUGUAUAAUGGGUCAGCGACUUAUAUUCAGUGGCAAGGUUAACCAUCUAGGGGAGCCGUAGGGAAACCGAGUCUUAACUGGGCGUUCAGUCUCUGGAUAUAGACCCGAAACCAGGUGAUCUAGCCAUGGGCAGGUUGAAGGUUGAGUAACAUCAACUGGAGGACCGAACCGACUAAUGUUGAAAAAUUAGCGGAUGACUUGUGGCUAGGGGUGAAAGGCCAAUCAAACCUGGAGAUAGCUGGUUCUCCCCGAAAGCUAUUUAGGUAGCGCCUCGGACGAAUACUACUGGGGGUAGAGCACUGUUAAGGCUAGGGGGUCAUCCCGACUUACCAACCCUUUGCAAACUCCGAAUACCAGUAAGUACUAUCCGGGAGACACACGGCGGGUGCUAACGUCCGUCGUGGAGAGGGAAACAACCCAGACCGCCAGCUAAGGUCCCAAAUUACUACUAAGUGGGAAACGAUGUGGGAAGGCUCAGACAGCCAGGAUGUUGGCUUAGAAGCAGCCAUCAUUUAAAGAAAGCGUAAUAGCUCACUGGUCGAGUCGGCCUGCGCGGAAGAUGUAACGGGGCUAAGUAGUAAACCGAAGCUGCGGCAAUGUGCUUUUGCACAUUGGGUAGGGGAGCGUUCUGUAAGCGGUUGAAGGUGUGUGGUAACGCAUGCUGGACGUAUCAGAAGUGCGAAUGCUGACAUGAGUAACGAUAAAGGGGGUGAAAAACCUCCUCGCCGGAAGACCAAGGGUUCCUGUCCAACGUUAAUCGGGGCAGGGUAAGUCGACCCCUAAGGCGAGGCCGAAAGGCGUAGUCGAUGGGAAACGGGUUAAUAUUCCCGUACUUCUUACAAUUGCGAUGGGGGGACGGAGAAGGCUAGGUGGGCCUGGCGACGGUUGUCCAGGUUCAAGUGCGUAGGCUUAAGAGUUAGGUAAAUCCGGCUCUUUUUAAGGCUGAGACACGACGUCGAGCACCUACGGGUGUGAAGUCAUUGAUGCCAUGCUUCCAGGAAAAGCCUCUAAGCUUCAGAUUGUAAGGAAUCGUACCCCAAACCGACACAGGUGGUCGGGUAGAGAAUACCAAGGCGCUUGAGAGAACUCGGGUGAAGGAACUAGGCAAAAUGGUACCGUAACUUCGGGAGAAGGUACGCUCUCGACGGUGAAGUCCCUCGCGGAUGGAGCUAUUGAGAGUCGCAGAUACCAGGUGGCUGCAACUGUUUAUUAAAAACACAGCACUGUGCAAAAUCGUAAGAUGACGUAUACGGUGUGACGCCUGCCCGGUGCCGGAAGGUUAAUUGAUGGGGUUAGACUUCGGUCGAAGCUCUUGAUCGAAGCCCCGGUAAACGGCGGCCGUAACUAUAACGGUCCUAAGGUAGCGAAAUUCCUUGUCGGGUAAGUUCCGACCUGCACGAAUGGCGUAAUGAUGGCCACGCUGUCUCCACCCGAGACUCAGUGAAAUUGAAAUCGCUGUGAAGAUGCAGUGUACCCGCGGCUAGACGGAAAGACCCCGUGAACCUUUACUACAGCUUGGCACUGAACAUUGACCCUACAUGUGUAGGAUAGGUGGGAGGCUUUGAAGCACGUACGCCAGUAUGUGUGGAGCCGUCCUUGAAAUACCACCCUUGUAGUGUU
rnacentral:rRNA from 1 species